rnacentral:rRNA from 1 species
GAGGUUGCAGCUUGGGAUGUCCUCCUCCAGGACAUCGCCCUCCUCCCUAUGGACGUCGCCGACACCCCGGACGCCAUCUCCUGGCGCCUGGAACCCGCCGGCUGCUUCUCCACCAAAUCUCUCUACGCGGCCAUCGCCCCCUCGACGGCCCCCGAGCCCUUCAGUUUGAUCUGGGACAUCCGCCUGCCCCUGAAGAUCAGGAUCUUCCUGUGGCAAUGGAUUUGCGGCCGCCUCCCGUCCGGCGUAGAGGUCCUUAAGCGUAAUGGACCUGGAGAUGGGAUGUGCCCCAUGUGCGGCACGGUAGAGGAUGCCAACCAUAUCUUCUUCUCGUGCUCCACGGCACAGUUCGUUUGGUCCUGUUUCCGCGAAAAGUUGGGGGCCAGUGGUGCAACACCAACUUCCCUGACCUGCUUGCGGAAAUUCAGGCUUCCCCCUCGCUACAGGCAUAUUAGAUGGCUUUGCAUUGGGGUCCUUGCCUGGACACUUUGGACCAUACGCAAUAAGCUUGUCAUACGGAAGGUGCCUCUUCGACGUGCUACUGACUCCAUUUUUAAAAUGUGUGGAUAUUUGCAGCUCUGGCGGCCGCUUAGCCGCCCCCAGGACCGGGACGUCAUCAACACCCUCCUCGCCGACCUUCGCUCAAUGGCCUUCCGCUUGGCGCCUCCGCUCCCUCCGCCACCCCCGGAGCCCGACUAG